rnacentral:misc_RNA from 1 species
GAGUGGGGAUAGGAAAACGGCGGCGAAGAUGGCAGUGGCGAGGAUAAAGUUGCUGAGGAACAAGAGAGAGGUGGUGGUGAGGCAGAUGAGAAGAUACAUUGCAUUGCUUCUUCAGUCUGGUGAAGACGCCACUGCUAGUAUCCGGGUGCAGCUUUAUCUUAUUUAUAUUGCCCUUCAUCGGAUAAUAUUAAUUUAGUUAGGUUGGGAAUUUGUUCUCUUUUGGCUUCACGAACUCUGCUUAAGCUUUAUUUUCGGUCAUUGUUAUUGUAUUUAAUAUAUUGACAUUGUUAUUGUAUUUAAUAUAUUGA